UUAAAUAAAAUGUAUUUAAAAAAAAAAAAUGGUGAGGCUCAGCCAUUGCACUCCGGCUGUGCUGAACCCUGCGAAUUUCCCAAAUGUGGAAAUCUCGAUUGCAUAAUUUCUGGUAGUGGGGGACUGCGUUCGCGCUCUCCCCUG
ensembl:snRNA U1 U1 spliceosomal RNA